UACGUAGGGUCCAAGCGUUGUCCGGAUUUAUUGGGCGUAAAGAGCUCGUAGGCGGCUUAGUAAGUCGGAUGUGAAAACUCGGGGCUCAACCCCGAGACGCCAUCCGAUACUGCUGUGGCUUGAGUCUGGUAGGGGAACACGGAAUUCCUGGUGUAGCGGUGAAAUGCGCAGAUAUCAGGAAGAACACCUAUGGCGAAGGCAGCUCUCUGGGACGGUACUGACGCUGAGACGCGAAAGCGUGGGGAGCGAACAGG
rnacentral:rRNA from 1 species